AGGUAGUGGAGGGAAAGCGUAUACUUGUAGGUCUUUCCAGCUGAAUGAGAGGGCAUCCACUUUCCAUGCUUGUGGAUGGUAACUCCUUGUGCAGAAUUU